rnacentral:rRNA from 1 species
CAGAUGUGUAUAAGAGACAGAUCUCAUUGUCAAAAGGGAAACAGCCCAGAUCUACAGCUAAGGUCCCAAAUUGUAUCUAAGUGGAAAACGAUGUGGAAAUACGCAGACAACCAGGAUGUUGGCUCAGAAGCAGCCACUCAUUUAAAGAGUGCGUAAUAGCUCACUGGUCGAGUGAUUGUGCGCCGAAGAUGUCCGGGGCUAAACGUGACACCGAAGCGAUGGGUGCAUCUGAAGAAGAUGCGCGGUAGAGGAGCAAUGUGCAGAGGCAGAAGCCGUAUCGAGAGGCACGGUGGACACUGCACAAGAGAGAAUGCCGGUAUGAGUAGCGAGAGGCAUGCGAGAAACAUGCCCGUCGAAAGCCCAAGGUUUCCUGGGGAAGGUUCAUCCGCCCAGGGUAAGUCGGGGCCUAAGCCGAGGACGGAAGUCGUAGGCGAUGGACAGCAGGUGUAGAUUCCUGCACUACCGAUGGAAUGAAGCAGUGACACAGAAGGAUAACUCGAGCAGGGUGAUGGUCAACCCUGUGCAAGCAUUGAGGUUGGGUUGUAGUGAAGUACGCAAUCCUAUAAGCUGAGAUGUGAUGCGGACCGAAAUUUCAGUAGGGAAGCGAGUGAGUUCACGCUGGCGAGAAAAGCUGCUAGUACAUCCAAAGGUACCCGUACCGGAAACCGACGCAGGUGGGCGAGGAGAGAAUCCUGAGACGAACGGGAGAACCCUUGUUAAGGAACUCGGCAAAAUGACCCCGUAACUUCGGGAUAAGGGGUGCCUGCGAGAGCAGGCCGCAGAGAAUAGUCACAAGCGACUGUUUAGCAAAAACACAGGUAUCUGCGAAAGCGAGAGCUGACGUAUAGGUGCUGACACCUGCCCGGUGCUGGAAGGUUAAGGGAACAUGUUAGAGCAAUCGAAGCAUCGAACCGAAGCCCCAGUAAACGGCGGCCGUAACUAUAACGGUCCUAAGGUAGCGAAAUUCCUUGUCGGGUAAGUUCCGACCCGCACGAAUGGUGUAACGACUUGUGAGCUGUCUCAACAGGGGGCCCGGUGAAAUUGAAGUAUGGGUGAAGAUGCCCAUUACCCGCGACUGGACGGAAAGACCCCGUAGAGCUUUACUGCAGCCUGAUAUUGAGUUUCGGUAACUGAUGCACAGGAUAGGUGGGAGUCUGAGAGACAUGGGUUUCGGCUCAUGUGGAGACGAUGUUGGGAUACCACUCUUCGGUUACUGAAAUUCUAACAUAGCUCUGUGAAACCAGAGGAUGGACAGUGUCAGGUGGACAGUUUGACUGGGGCGGUCGCCUCCGAAAGAGUAACGGAGGCGCCCAAAGGUACCCUCAGAAUGGAUGGAAACCAUUCGAAGAGCGCAAAGGCAGAAGGGUGCCUGACUGCGAGAUUGACAAAUCGAGCAGAGACGAAAGUCGGGCUUAGUGAUCCGGCGGUAUUGAGUGGAAAAGCCGUCGCUUAACGGAUAAAAGCUACCUCGGGGAUAACAGGCUGAUCUCCCCCAAGAGUCCACAUCGACGGGGAGGUUUGGCAC